UACGAAGGGGGCUAGCGUUGCUCGGAAUCACUGGGCGUAAAGGGUGCGUAGGCGGGUCUUUAAGUCAGGGGUGAAAUCCUGGAGCUCAACUCCAGAACUGCCUUUGAUACUGAAGAUCUUGAGUUCGGGAGAGGUGAGUGGAACUGCGAGUGUAGAGGUGAAAUUCGUAGAUAUUCGCAAGAACACCAGGGGCGAAGGCGGCUCACGGGCCCGAUACUGACGCUGAGGUGCGAAAGCGUGGGGAGCAAACAGG
rnacentral:rRNA from 1 species